AACGCGAAGAACCUUACCAGGGCUUGACAUCCCGAUCGCACCCUUUAGAAAUAUUGGGGUCAGUUCGGCUGGAUCGGUGACAGGUGCUGCAUGGCCGUCGUCAGCUCGUGUCGUGAGAUGUUGGGUUAAGUCCCGCAACGAGCGCAACCCUUGUCGUGUGUUGUAUUUUUCACGCGAGACCGCCCGGGCCAACCGGGAGGAAGGUGGGGAUGACGUCAGGUCAGCAUGGCCCUUACGCCCUGGGCCACACACGUGAUACAAUGGCCGGCACAGCGGGUCGCUAACCCGCAAGGGGGAGCUAAUCCCAUCAAAACCGGUCCCAGUUCGGAUUGCAGGCUGCAACUCGCCUGCAUGAAGUUGGAAUUGCUAGUAAACGUGGGUCAGCACACCACGUUGAAUACGUUCCCGGGCCUUGUACACACCGUGUCGA
rnacentral:rRNA from 1 species